rnacentral:rRNA from 1 species
CUAACGAGGAUUUCCCUAGUAACGGCGAGUGAAAAGGAAAAAGCCCAGCGCUGAAUCCAAUAGACACAUUUGGCUAUAUGGAAAUGUAGCGUAUAGGUGUAACUAACUGUAGCAUAUUUUUGCACCCAAAGUCCCCUUGAGCGGGGCUACAGUCCAUAGAAGGUGCUAGACCUGUACGGGUGAAAAAAGCUACGGUAUGUUAUUCUUUGGAGUCGGGUUGUUUGAGAUUGCAGCCCAAAGAGGGUGGUAAACCUCAUCUAAGGCUAAAUACGACCACGAGACCGAUAGCAAACAAGUACCGUGAGGGAAAGUUGCAAAGAACUUUGAAGAGAGAGUUCAAGAGGGCGUGAAACCGCUGAGAUGGAAACGGAUAGAGUUAACGAAACUUAUCGGUAUUCAACCAAUCAUUUUAGCAAUCUUUUAACUGAUCAAUCAUUAUUCUAAGUGCUGAGUAGGAUGAUUGUUAAGAGAGGAAGUGCUAAGAUUAUCAAAUGUCGAUUGGUGUAUUUACCGAUGGUAUGCAUCGAGAGCUUCAUUUUAGCAUAUUAAUAUAGCUCAUUUAGUGGACCAAUUAGUGCAAUUGSUAAUUGGAAUCCUAAAUCUAUUGAAAUAUGUCUUAGAUGAAGUUUUACCAUUCUUCCCAUAUGUGUAACUUUCACUUCUCUCUCUCUCWUCUUAACUGGGAGAGAGAGAGAGUGUGACAUGCAUCGAUUGUAAUUUUUGCUAAUUACAUUUACAUGUAGUCGCAUGAGACUUUAWCGGUAAAUGUUGCUUAUAGAUAAUUGGUAAAGUUAUAAUAUUGUAUGCAUCAUUAAAAGUUACAUCUCGAUGUGAACGUUAAUCACCUAUCUGACCCGUCUUGAAACACGGACCAAGGAGU